GGUUGGUCCAAGAGCAGUGGUGUUUACAACUAACUGAUCACAACCAGUUACAGAUUCCUUUGUUCCUUCUCCACUCCCACUGCUUCACUUGACCAGCCUUAA
rnacentral:Y_RNA from 1 species